rnacentral:rRNA from 1 species
UACGUAGGGUACAAGCGUUGUCCGGAAUGAUUGGGCGUAAAGCGUCCGCAGGUGGCUAUGUAAGUCUGCUGUUAAAGAGUGAGGCUCAACCUCAUAAGAGCAGUGGAAACUACAUGGCUAGAGUGCGUUCGGGGCAGAGGGAAUUCCUGGUGUAGCGGUGAAAUGCGUAGAGAUCAGGAAGAACACCGGUGGCGAAAGCGCUCUGCUAGGCCGCAACUGACACUGAGGGACGAAAGCUAGGGGAGCGAAUGGG